GACAUGCAGUGAGGGUUUUUUAAUUCUUCAUUGCAGUUUAAAAAUCCCUACCGGGGAAUGAAUUUUCUGAUCAUCCAAACUCAUGGAAGUCAAGGAGUCUAUUAUAUUAAUGGCAUAUUUCAUUGCUUUAAAAUUCAAAAGUGACAAUCUAUGACACCAGUUAGGAAUAACAGAGAGGGAAUAAGCCCAAGAGCCAAGGCAGUGAAUGAUGACACACUGCUCCUUGAGCACUGCACCUUCCUAUGUCUGAAAGUACUGCCACAAUGGAAAAUUUACUGCAUUAGAAGGAAAAGACUUUUUCUGGUCCAUAACUGUCUGUAUCUGCCCAAUAAAAGAAAUUGGACAUUUUGGGGGUAUCUACUUAAUGAUUAUUUUGUCACUGCAGUGCCACUGGAGAGUUUGGGCAAAUCCUCCAGAAACCAGAAAGAAAUGAUUUGGAGGAAUUCCUGAGAAGAAAGAGGAUGGAUGUCAUUGUUAUGAGACCUCUCUCCUCUCUAAAAAAAUGCCCUCAAAAGCAGUGAUAAAGUCUUUCAGUAAGGAACAUCAAAGACUGUCAUCAAAGAGACAGGCUCUUCAGGAAGAACAAAAAGAGACGAAUCACCAACCACAUCAGAGGGCUGAGCUGAGCAACUGAAGGACUGGAAAGACAUGUUCUCCCUAAGGAUGCUGAAAGCGAUACCCAUCAAAAGGCAACAUUGUUGAACACUCUCCUAGAAGUGUGUGUUAGUGGUUAUCCAUGCCCUUUAUUGACCUUCACAACCUUGGUUAAGUCAAGAGGCCGAGUACUCCAUUUUGUUCAAAAUGCUGCCUGACUGAAGCAGCAUGAAGCAGCAGGAGAAACACACCGAGGAGCACCCCAAGGUUUUUCUUCUAGUAUGGGGAAAACAGUAGGGAAAUCCUGUUCAGCUCUUCAUUAGCAGAGCAGCUUCUGCAGAACAAGGUAGCGGGAAAUGCUUAAAAUUGGGCAUUCUCUCCACUCCACUCCACUAUUAAUAUGCAAAAAAAUUAUUUUCAAAGCGAAGAAAAAUUGAACUGUUUUUUGUACAGAAACACCUGGUCAUUGCCUUAAAUUACUUUCUAUUUUCUCUUCUCUUAAAGAUGAGACUAUUACCAGGUAAAGAAGGGUGUAGUGAUUCUGCUUACUAGGGAUAAUAAAUGAAAACCUAUAGAGUAGUGGAUGCUAGUAUGUUAGCAUUCCUAUUUAUUAAACUCAACACAUUAAAUUGUUUAAAAUA